UGGGGAAUCUUGCGCAAUGGACGAAAGUCUGACGCAGCGACGCCGCGUGCGGGAGGAAGCUCUUCGGGGUGUAAACCGCUGUUGCCCGGAACGAAACUUCCCUUUCGAGGGGAUUGACGGUACCGGGUGAGGAAGCGCCGGCUAACUCUGUGCCAGCAGCCGCGGUAAUACAGAGGGCGCGAGCGUUGUCCGGAAUCACUGGGCGUAAAGGGCGCGUAGGUGGCAGCAUAAGGCUGUGGUGAAAGUCUGGGGCUCAACUCCAGAUCGGCCGUGGCAACUGUGCAGCUUGGGCACUGUAGAGGCAGAUGGAAUUCCGGGUGUAGCGGUGGAAUGCGUAGAGAUCCGGAAGAACACCAGUGGCGAAGGCGGUCUGCUGGGCAGUGGAGUCGCAAGACUCCAAUAGCCGACACUGAGGCGCGACAGCGUGGGGAGCAAACAGG
rnacentral:rRNA from 1 species